rnacentral:rRNA from 1 species
UACGUAGGGCGCAAGCGUUGUCCGGAAUUAUUGGGCGUAAAGCGCACGUAGGCGGAUUUGCCAGUCAGGGGUGAAAUCCCGGGGCUCAACCUCGGAACUGCCUUUGAUACAGCAAGUCUUGAGUUCGAGAGAGGUGGGUGGAAUUCCUAGUGUAGAGGUGAAAUUCGUAGAUAUUAGGAAGAACACCGGUGGCGAAGGCGGCCCACUGGCUCGACACUGACGCUGAGGUGCGAAAGCGUGGGGAGCAAACAGG